rnacentral:misc_RNA from 1 species
CAUUGUGUACAAGUAAAAAGAAAAGUGGAAAAAAGCAUAAGAAAAAUAACAAAAUAUUAGCCAUAAAAGAAGCAGUGCAAUUCAAAUAAUCGGGCAAAUCGUAGCAAACCAAAAACAAACACAAAAACCAAACAAAGCAAUCAAUUAACAAGUAUCCGCGGUCGCGGGUGAAUUGAUGAGCAAGUAAGUGACACAAAAUGAAUAUGCCAAAUGAGGCGCGACGUUGCUCAUACGCCAGGGAGUACGAAUUGUACAAAGAUUUGUUAGCAGCCAACAUUUACACAAAGUCACAGGAUACAACAGCGGCAAUUCGCUACACACAAAGUCCUGACUGUACCACAGAGGCACGCUUGGCGACAGCAGCGGUAGCAGCAACAACAACAUCAAUAAGCAACAGCAUUGCCGAAGGUGGCAAUCAAAUGGAAAUUUGUGAUCAAAAAGCGAUGGUCAAAUUGACAAUGAAAGUUCAGCAGAACAAGCAGUGCAAUGAAACCGCAUCCACUACAAAAACAGCAACCGCAACAGCUACUGCAGCAACAACACAAACACACACACGCACACAACAACUUGCCUCCAGCUAUAAUAAUAUGCCACUACAAUUGAGCGAUGGCGGAAGUAGUGACACUGAUGAUGAUGACGAUGAUGAUGAUGACGAGAAUGUUGUUGUUGAAGGGCACUUCAGUCACCACCACCACCACCAGCAGCAGCAGCACGACUACCAUUACAACGGCAACCACAACUCAGUAUCAGACAAUGAUGCAAAUGACGUUGGCCUUGCCGCUGCUGCAUCGUUAACCACGGCGGCACAAGUGUGCGACGACAGCGCGGGUAUCGAGGAGUUGAGUGCUUCGCUGGCGACAGCAGAUAUUACGCAGGCCUCGAGUUUCGAUGAUGAUUGUUAUGUACUACAAACGCAGCCAGCAGCCCAAAUUGAAAUUUUUGUCAACCGGUCGCUGCACUUAGAGAAUAUCAAAUUCUAUGGCUUCGAUAUGGACUACACUCUGGCGGAAUACAAAUCGCCACAAUAUGAGCAACUUGGUUUCGAUUUGGCCAAAGAGUGUCUGGUCAACGACGGCUAUCCCAAAGAAAUUCUGCAAUUCGAAUAUGAUCCCUCGUUUCCGGUGCGUGGCCUCUGGUUUGAUACACUCUAUGGCAAUCUCUUGAAAGUGGACGCCUACGGCAAUAUAUUGGUGUGUGUGCGGGGCUUCGAAUUUCUUAAACAUCACCAAGUUUAUGAGUUGUAUCCGAAUAAAUUUUUGAAACUGGAUGAAAAGCGCGUCUACGUAUUGAAUACACUAUUCAAUUUACCCGAAACAUAUUUGUUGGCGUGUUUGGUUGAUUUCUUCACUAAUAGUUCGGAAUAUAUAAGCGAAAAAACUGGUGUCAAGGCAGGCGAGCUCUUCAUGUCCUUCAGAUCAAUUUUCCAAGAUGUACGACGUGCUAUCGAUUUUGUACAUAUAAAAGGCAAUCUAAAACAGAAGACAAUCGAGAACUUGGAUUACUACGUUAAAAAGGAUCCCCGUCUACCCAUGGUGCUGUCGCGCAUACGCGAAUCUGGUGCCAAGGUCUUCUUACUCACCAACAGCGAUUACAAAUACACCAACAUCAUUAUGUCGUAUUUAUUCGAUUUCGAGCAUGGCGCGAGACCCGACGAGCCACAUCGCAAUUGGAAAACCUACUUCGAUGUAAUUGUAGUGGAUGCAGCGAAACCACUCUUCUUCGGCGAAGGUACAAUUCUCCGGCAAGUCGAUACACAAACGGGUGCCUUGAGAAUCGGCACACACAUGGGUCCACUGCAGCCGGGCAAAGUCUAUUCCGGUGGCUCAUGUGAGGUGUUCACUUCCUUCAUCAAUGCCAAGGGCAAGGAUGUCCUCUAUGUCGGUGAUCACAUUUUUGGUGAUAUUCUGAAGUCGAAGAAGAUACGUGGUUGGCGUACAUUCCUGAUUGUACCCGAGCUGGUGCAGGAAUUACAUGUAUGGACAGAUAAGUGUCAGUAUUUUGCUGAGUUACAGCAAUUGGAUGUUAUGUUGGGUGAUAUGUACAAAAAUCUGGACUCGAGCGCUAAAGAAAAGCCGGACAUUUCAAAAUUGCGUUCAAGCAUACGUGAUGUCACCCAUAAAAUGGACAUGGCUUACGGCAUGAUGGGCUCACUAUUCCGUUCCGGUUCCAGACAAACAUUCUUCUCCAGUCAAGUAUCCAGAUAUGCCGACUUGUAUGCGGCAACUUUCCUCAAUCUCUAUUAUUAUCCAUUCUCGUAUAUGUUCCGUGCACCGGCUAUGCUGCUGCCGCACGAAUCUACAGUAACGCAUGAGCAACGAUUCCACAUGGAGGCACCGCCUAUACAACGUGCACGCAGCAAGAACGAAAGUGUGGAUGGUGGUGCGCUAAGCAUGAUUUCAUCACCUACCGAGAAGGCGCAGGAAGCCAUGGCGAACUUCGAACGUGCGGAUUGCAAAGACGAAGAAAUUGAGAAGCUUGCUGAGGAAAUUAAGUCAAUGAAUUCGGCUGGUACAACCAAUUCCACAGUGCCGCAUACGCGUCCGCCAACACCGCAAAGCGUGACGCACACACACGAUGAGGACUACUCGGAGGAGGAAUCGGAACAAAUGCCCAAAUGUGACUGUCAACGACAGCAAGAUGAUACCGACUAGAAUCUGGCGAAUUUAGUAUGCACUUAUAAAGCAUCGGCAGGCGCCUCGGAAGCGUUUAAAAUAAAUAAAUGCUAGUCGCAUUGUUGCGCUCCAUUUGAUAUUUA